GGAAGAAACAUUUGUACAUUGCGAACUGAAAGUAUGAAACAGACUUCUAUUUAUAUUCCGCUAUUUUGUGAAUCUGUAUAAGCAUUAACAAUUUAACAAUCGUUUUGCAUUUAAUUCUACCAAUUUUUCGAUCUUUCCUUUACACCUUCCUUUUCUUUGUGUUUCAUUAUAAUACGUUUAAAAAACUUAUUCGUUAUUCACCGGGUAACCGGUGUUCUUUUGUAUAUGACGGGAAACAAAUGGAUAGAAGUUUCGUUAUCGCCAACUUUGAUAGGAAAAAUAUAUUGAAGGCAACGAAACAUCCUUCGUGGAGAACAAUAAGAAUAGAAACGGUGUUUGCGUGAAUAUGAAAGUGAAGGACCGUCGUAACGCUAAAGCAUGAAAACCAAGAAAAUCCACCUAAGCGAUCGCUUUAGAAUGAACGCCUUGGCGUAACCUUUAAGCCAUAAAGCCAUGUUCAAAGUAUAAAUAAGCAGAACAGAGGAUAUCUCGAUUUCUUUAUAUUCCAUAAAGUAGCGUCCGAUCUUCUCCUUCCUCCUUUCUUACGUUGCAAAACACAAUAUCAGUGUUUUAAGAAGCCACUUCAAUGAGAGAAAAACGGAAAUACGAAUAUUAACGAAGAAACAGUAGAUUGAAAAAAUGAAAAUUAUUCCUUUCAAAAACGAAAUUUUGUUAGCCUAACAGCUGCCUUUUUCUUUUUUUGGUGGUAGAAACUUUUCGAAAAAAGGCAUAAUAGUAGCUUCAAGAUACGAUUCUUUUAUCUACACGUUUUGUCUAAACAUAAUCUUAUACUUAAACGAUAUUAAUGUUAUUCUCGUGUUGUAUUGUCUGAAGUAAUACGGCCUUGUAAAUAUUAUCUAAAAUAAUAUUAUCUUGUAAAUAUCGUCCGAAAAAAUAUUAUCUUAUGUCUCGACUAAAUAUUGUCUGAAAAUGUCUGACUGUUUAUAUUUUGUCAGGUUAAAAUCAGAUUUAUUUAAAUUUCACGUUUCACCCGUAACAUAAUUAUGCUACAUGAGUAAAGCGUGAAACCUUGCAAAUUUAACUAUUAUCAAAUAUGACGAGCGUGGUAACUGUGCUAUCAAAAUAAGGAAGUUCUCUUCUAUGGCACUGUGGUAUGGAAACUUAGUCGAACUGUUCUAAUUAUUGGAUUUUAUGAGUACUUCAUAACAUGUUGACACUUCCCUUGAUCGUAAAGGAAGCAAGUAAAUAUGAGAGUAUAAGCCAGCUGCGGUUGUUUAUGCAUUUAUCGCAAGUGUAAAUAUGAAAAAUGUAAAGGGAAAACAUAUUUUUAUUCGUGCUCUGUGAAAAUAUGAAUUUCUGCAAAACAUUUGUAUAUAAACAUCUACAAUAUAGAAAAACUGCGAAAAUAUUUUUUACGAAUGAUUAGUAACAAGUAUAGUGAAUUUUAUUGUUCAAUAUGAUUGCGAUCUUUUCUCAAACAAAUUAUUUAUAAAGUUUCACUAAAUAAUAAUUCUUCGCUCGAUACUGCGUUAUUAUACCAAAUAACAGAAAUUUAUUUAACAAUUUUUCUAAAUUAAAUAAUGAAAAUAAUCUAGGAAAUUUAAUAGACUAAAUAAUAAAUCAAAAGAUACAAAUAAUUUUGCCGAUCUUCAUUAAACUAUAUGUACUAUACAAGUGAAGUAUAUUUUUUAUAUAUUUUUCUACAUUUAGGUUUCUUUAGAUCAAAGCACUGCCACAAGCAGUGAAAAUAAACAAUUCAAUAAAUUUUCACCAAACGAUAUUUCAAAUAAAUCAGUUUCAAAGAAAGAUAUUUUAUCUUCAAGUUUGUACUGGCGGUAUAAAAAAAAGUAUAAAAUACUCGAUUCCUAACUAGAAAUCAAACCAGCAGAAUGUUUCACAACACGUUAAAGCGAAGUGUUUCGACAAUCAUCGUCUGACUCGUUGGGGCUAUUAAAAUGAUGCAUUAAUCUAACCAGCCAUUGUUUCGUGCCAUUAAAUCCUCCCGAGAUGUCUAUCAACCAACCCCGACGAUCGUAUUUGCUGACUUCCUUACGAGCUUUCCGCGAAAGCAGAGUAAAUAACAGUUUGUUGAACUUUGUAAAGAGAGUGCAACAUUGAAUGAGCAUCCAGCUCAUCAAUCACGGUAGCCACGUGUAUUCGAAUCUUGCUUGUCUGCAUUCACACUUGUCGUGACACGCAUAUUUCACUUGUAAAAUCCGUUUCCACUAGCAUAUACGAUUCGAUGUUGAAUGAAAGUGUCAACGAUUUGGUUAUAUACAUAUCGCUUUUAUGCUGUCAGAAUAUUCAUCGUUGAAAUAUCGCUGGCUAUCAAACUCUGGCUGAGAUAUUUAUUAGAUAGAAUUUGUAAUAACACAUCGAGCACCUCCGUUUCACGUGGGUUGACUAGCUAGUGCAGUUUAAACACCCACAGAUCAAUAUCUUUAAACUUCUUCCCAAACACCAAAGCCAUUUAUUCUAUGCAUACAGAAACAAAACUAUUAAUAGUAACCCGUUUUGUGGAUCCUUAUCUUUCUUUAGAACUUGUAUCUUAUUUAUAUGUUCUAUUUUAUCUACAUUCUAAGCUACUUCACGCAUUUACCUAAUUUACAUUUACACGAUUAUACCUUUAUCUAUAGUAAUUCAACAGGGUAUUUUACAAGGCUGUUUAAAUAUGUAAUAAUUAUUCGAUUUAAUGGUUUAACAAAUUAUUGUUAAGUUCAAGGUACUUAUUUGAAAAAAGUAAGAACAAUUAAACAAAUUUUACCGAGUCAAAUAGACAAACAGGUUUGGACACGCAAUUAACAAAUAUCAUCGUAAUAAAUCAUCCCAAGUGUCUAUCUAGCAGCACAACAUCCCAAAACCUUAAUAACCAAAGAACCAAAACAACAUAUUCUUUCAUAAACAGAUGAAAUUAAUCGAAUAAAUAUGCAUUUGCCAAACUAACUAGCCGAUAAUCCCAGGUAAUUGUCUUACGAUCUUGCUUAUUAACUUCAUUCAUAAAAUAUUUUAUGAAUCCAAUGAGAUCAUCUUCGACUCAAUCGUCUCAUAAACCAACCUACCACAACCAAAAAGUCCUCGAGACCAGCCAUCACUCGACAACCGUCUGAUUCAAUUUCUUUUGCAAGUUGCCCACAUUUACCCGCAACAGCUGUUAAGUUGGCGAAACGGUGACUACAUGGAGGCAGCAGUCUGCCGCCCGCCACUCGCCCGCUAUAAAACCUCUCUCCAUAAAAGACCUCUUUUUCAAGACCCAGACAUAUCCAAGACCCACAGAAUCACGCGCGAGUUGGAUUCGAAAAGCACGUUAAAACGAACAGAAAAAAAAAGAAACGCAAAACAAAG